AUGCUUGCUUUGGCAGCACAUAUACUAAAAUUGAAAUGAUUCCGAGAAGAUUAGCAUGGCCCCUGUGCAAGGAUAGCAUGCAAAUUCAGGAAGCAUUAUAUAUAUAA
rnacentral:snRNA from 1 species